rnacentral:piRNA from 1 species
UGUUCCCUACAAAAACCUGUUUUGAUCAGGA